GCCGCGGGGAGCCACCGGCAGGGUGGGGUAAACGGGCGCGAAAUCGCCUUAGGGCCUACCUUCCCUUACAGUCAGGAAAAGCAGAGAACAGCCCGUGCGCCAUCGGAGCCGUGUCUCGGGUCCCCGUUGUGCAGUGCACGUCCCUGAGUCAGGAGGCUCGGGCAAUGAGUCAGCCUUGCCACCAUUUGUGGAAUUUGAUUUCACCAGCAACAAUUCAGUCUAUUGCUCUGCUAAAAUUAAUUAUCUCUGCCAUGAUAAUACACACUUUGGGCUCAGUGUGUGAGCUACCAUUUCUGAAGCAAAAGAAUUUAUGUCAAGUAUUGUAAGGGAACAGCUGUAAUAAAUAAAGCACAAUUC